GUGUUAAUGUAGGCCUACUUAAUUUAAUCAAAAGAAAUUUGAUGUUGAACCAUUUUUUUCCUUACAGUAGGCCUAUAGGAAUAUGAAUGUUCAACUAACAGAGGCGCAGAGCAGCAAUCACGGCGAUGCGUGUCUUGCACGUAGUCGCGUCGAAAACUGCAAGCUAACAGCUGACCCAUGAAUGUCCGGUGAAAGCAACUUUUCCCUCUCAAUUUCCCCUCGUCUUGCACCCUUGGCAAGCGGAGCGAGGUAUGUUGGUUUAUUGUAAGCCUUUAGUGUGAUUAUGUUUAAUUUUGGUGUCUUUAUGUAAGUGAAGCAAAUAAUGCACACGUUUAAGUUUUCUUUGUUGUGCUGAAAUAUGUUUUCUAUAAUAUGUCAUUCUUAAAUUUCCUGUAUUGG
ensembl:lncRNA